AACAUAGCCUCUUCUCUGCCAUGUUCUGUGGUCUUCUCAAUGUGCAGUGGUUUUGUCCCUUAUUAACAAACGUGAUGCCUCUCUAGCGACUAUGAGCAUCAAGGUGGUGAGGGUAGGUAACAACAUCUCCACCCCGCUGAUCCUCAACACUGGGUCCCCACAAGGGUGCGUUCUUAGCCCUCUCCUGUACUCCCUGUUCACCCACGACUGCGUGGCCAUGCACACCUCCAACUCAAUCAUCAAGUUUGCAGACGACACUACAGUGGUAGGCUUGAUUACCAACAACGACGAGACGGCCUACAGGGAGGAGGUGAGGGCCCUCGGAGUGUGGUGUCAGGAAAACAACCUCACAUUCAAUGUCAACAAAACAAAGGAGAUGAUCGUGGACUUCAGGAAACAGCAGAGGGAGCACCCCCCCCCCCUAUCUACAUUGACGGGACAGUAGUGGAGAGGGUGGAGAGUUUUAAGUUCCUUGGCGUACACAUCACGGACAAACUGAAAUGGUCCACCCACACAGACAGCGUGGUCAAGAAGGCGCAGCAGCGCCUCUUCAACCUCAGGAGGCUAAAGAAAUUCGGCUUGUCACCAAAAACACUCUCAAACUUUUACAGAUGCACAAUCGAGAGCAUCCUGUCGGGCUGUAUCACCGCCUGGUACGGCAGCUGCUCCGCCCAUAACCGGAAGGCUGUCCAGAGGGUAGUGAGGUCUGCACAACACAUCACCGGGUGCAAACUACCUGCCCUCCAGGACACCUACACCACCCGAUGUCACAGGAAGGCCAAAAAGAUCAUCAAGGACAACAACCACCCGAGCCACUGCCUGUUCACCCCGCUAUCAUCCAGAAGGCGAGGGGCAAUAGACAGGUCAAGGCAGGUAGGGGUCAGUAAACCAGAGGUGGGGCAACGGUACCGGACGGCAGUCAGGCUCAGGUUCAGGCAGAGUGGUCAGGGAGAAGGGCUCAGAGUCAGGACAGGCAAGGAUCAAAACCAGGAGGGCGAGAAAAAGCGAGACUGAGAAAAGCAGGAGCUGAGACACAAAAACGCUGGUUGACUUGACAAACAAGACGAACUGGCAACAGACAAACAGUGAGCACAGGUAUAAAUACACAGGGGAUAAUGGGGAAGAUGGGCGACACCUGGAGGGGGUUGGAGACAAUCAC
rnacentral:lncRNA from 1 species